rnacentral:tRNA from 1 species
AAUAAGAAGCAAAAAAUUGCGUUUAGUUUCGACCUAAAAUAUUUGAUUAAUUAAUCCUUAUUUAA